rnacentral:misc_RNA from 1 species
GAUGAAGAACGUAGCGAAUUGCGAUAAGUAAUGUGAAUUGCAGAUUUUCAGUGAAUCAUCGAAUCUUUGAACGCACCUUGCGCUCCUUGGUAUUCUGAGGAGCAUGCCUGUUUGAGUGUCAUUAAAUUCUCAACUACACUGACUUUGAAUUGGUGUGGCUUGGAUUUGGGGGGAAAAUUGUUGUGGGCUUUUUGUAUAGUCUGCUCCCCUGAAAUUGAUUAGCGGUACCUUUGUGGAACUGUCUACAGGUGUGAUAAUUAUCUACAUCUUAGACAUCUGCUGGAAUGCUGCUUUCUAAACCUUACUUGUAUUGACAAUCUUGACCUCAAAUCAGGUAGGACUACCCGCUGAACUUAAGCAUAUCAAUAAGCGGAGGA